UACGAAGGGGGCUAGCGUUGCUCGGAAUCACUGGGCGUAAAGGGUGCGUAGGCGGGUCUUUAAGUCAGGGGUGAAAUCCUGGAGCUCAACUCCAGAACUGCCUUUGAUACUGAAGAUCUUGAGUUCGGGAGAGGUGAGUGGAACUGCGAGUGUAGAGGUGAAAUUCGUAGAUAUUCGCAAGAACACCAGUGGCGAAGGCGGCUCACUGGACCAUAACUGACGCUGAUGCACGAAAGCUGGGGGAGCAAACAGG
rnacentral:rRNA from 1 species